GAGUUUGAUCGUGGCUCAGAACGAACGCUGGCGGCAUGCCUAACACAUGCAAGUCGAACGCCUGCAGCAAUGCAGGAGUGGCGCACGGGUGAGUAACGCGUGGGAACCUGCCUAGUGGUAAGGAAUAACCGCGGGAAACUGCGGCUAAUACCUUAUGAGCCCUACGGGGGAAAGAUUUAUCGCCAUUAGAGGGGCCCGCGUCCGAUUAGCUAGUUGGUGAGGUAACGGCUCACCAAGGCGACGAUCGGUAGCUGGUCUGAGAGGAUGAUCAGCCACACUGGGACUGAGACACGGCCCAGACUCCUACGGGAGGCAGCAGUGGGGAGUAUUGGACAAUGGGGGCAACCCUGAUCCAGCAAUGCCGCGUGAGUGAUGAAGGCCUUAGGGUUGUAAAGCUCUUUUGUCCGGAACGAAACGGGUCGCGUGAAUAUCGCGGCCUAAUGACGGUACCGGAAGAAUAAGCACCGGCUAACUACGUGCCAGCCGCCGCAGUAAG
rnacentral:rRNA from 1 species